UAAGACGAACCGUACGAACGUUAUUCGGAAUCACUGGGCUUAAAGAGUCCGUAGGCGGCCGUGUAGGUGGGAUGUGAAAGCCCUCGUCUCAACCGAGGAAUUGCGUUCCAAACCACAUGGCUUGAGGAGGAUAGAGGUGAGCGGAACUGAUGGUGGAGCGGUGAAAUGCGUUGAUAUCAUCAGGAACACCAGAGGCGAAGGCGGCUCACUGGGUCUUUUCUGACGCUGAGGGACGAAAGCUAGGGGAGCAAACGGGAUUAGAUACCCCGGUAGUCCUAGCUGUAAACGAUGAGCACUAGAUCGAGGGGACUUCCACAUCUUCUCGGUCGUAGCGAAAGUGUUAAGUGCUCCGCCUGGGGAGUAUGGUCGCAAGGCUG
rnacentral:rRNA from 1 species